rnacentral:rRNA from 1 species
AACGAACGCUGGCGGCAGGCUUAACACAUGCAAGUCGAACGCAUCCUUCGGGGUGAGUGGCAGACGGGUGAGUAACGCGUGGGAAUCUACCUCUUGCUACGGGAUAGCUCCGGGAAACUGGAAUUAAUACCGUAUGUGCCCUUCGGGGGAAAGAUUUAUCGGCAAGGGAUGAGCCCGCGUUGGAUUAGCUAGUUGGUGGGGUAAAGGCCUACCAAGGCGACGAUCCAUAGCUGGUCUGAGAGGAUGAUCAGCCACAUUGGGACUGAGACACGGCCCAAACUCCUACGGGAGGCAGCAGUGGGGAAUAUUGGACAAUGGGCGCAAGCCUGAUCCAGCCAUGCCGCGUGAGUGAUGAAGGUCUUAGGAUUGUAAAGCUCUUUCACCGGGGACGAUAAUGACGGUACCCGGAGAAGAAGCCCCGGCUAACUUCGUGCCAGCCGCCGCGGUAA